rnacentral:rRNA from 1 species
GACGAACGCUGGCGGCGUGCUUAACACAUGCAAGUCGAACGGAAAGGCCCUGCUUUUGUGGGGUGCUCGAGUGGCGAACGGGUGAGUAACACGUGAGUAACCUGCCCUUGACUUUGGGAUAACUUCAGGAAACUGGGGCUAAUACCGGAUAGGAGCUCCUGCUGCAUGGUGGGGGUUGGAAAGUUUCGGCGGUUGGGGAUGGACUCGCGGCUUAUCAGCUUGUUGGUGGGGUAGUGGCUUACCAAGGCUUUGACGGGUAGCCGGCCUGAGAGGGUGACCGGCCACAUUGGGACUGAGAUACGGCCCAGACUCCUACGGGAGGCAGCAGUGGGGAAUAUUGCACAAUGGGCGGAAGCCUGAUGCAGCAACGCCGCGUGCGGGAUGACGGCCUUCGGGUUGUAAACCGCUUUCGCCUGUGACGAAGCGUGAGUGACGGUAAUGGGUAAAGAAGCACCGGCUAACUACGUGCCAGCAGCCGCGGUGAUACGUAGGGUGCGAGCGUUGUCCAGAUUUAUUGGGCGUAAAGGGCUCGUAGGUGGUUGAUCGCGUCGGAAGUGUAAUCUUGGGGCUUAACCCUGAGCGUGCUUUCGAUACGGGUUGACUUGAGGAAGGUAGGGGAGAAUGGAAUUCCUGGUGGAGCGGUGGAAUGCGCAGAUAUCAGGAGGAACACCAGUGGCGAAGGCGGUUCUCUGGGCCUUUCCUGACGCUGAGGAGCGAAAGCGUGGGGAGCGAACAGGCUUAGAUACCCUGGUAGUCCACGCUGUAAACGGUGGGUACUAGGUGUGGGGUCCAUUCCACGGGUUCCGUGCCGUAGCUAACGCUUUAAGUACCCCGCCUGGGGAGUACGGCCGCAAGGCUAAAACUCAAAGGAAUUGACGGGGCCCCGCACAAGCGGCGGAGCAUGCGGAUUAAUUCGAUGCAACGCGUAGAACCUUACCUGGGUUUGACAUGGAUCGGGAGUGCUCAGAGAUGGGUGUGCCUCUUUUGGGGUCGGUUCACAGGUGGUGCAUGGCUGUCGUCAGCUCGUGUCGUGGGAUGUUGGGUUAAGUCCCGCAACGAGCGCAACCCUUGUUCACUGUUGCCAGCACGUUAUGGUGGGGACUCAGUGGAGACCGCCGGGGUCAACUCGGAGGAAGGUGGGGAUGACGUCAAGUCAUCAUGCCCCUUAUGUCCAGGGCUUCACGCAUGCUACAAUGGCUGGUACAGAGAGUGGCGAGCCUGUGAGGGUGAGCGAAUCUCGGAAAGCCGGUCUCAGUUCGGAUUGGGGUCUGCAACUCGACCUCAUGAAGUCGGAGUCGCUAGUAAUCGCAGAUCAGCAACGCUGCGGUGAAUACGUUCCCGGG